UUAAUUCCUGCCACCCGCGCACUUGCCAAAUUUCGUUCCGUUCAUGAGUUUUCCAGUUUCAAGAGUUUGUCAGUUUAAUAGAAACAAAAUGGAGUGUUUGACAUUAGACUUCGGUCCAUUUGAAGCUGUUCAUCGUUGGAGAAGAAUGCCAGAGUGUGAUGAAUUUGUUGGCGCACGGCGAAGUAAACACACAGUGGUAGCUUACAAAGAUGCUAUUUAUGUGUUUGGAGGAGACAAUGGUAAAAACAUGCUGAAUGAUCUAUUACGGUUUGAUGUGAAGGACAAGUCAUGGGGAAGAGCAUUUACAACUGGGUUUCCCCCUGCACCACGCUAUCAUCAUUCUGCCGUAGUCCAUGAGGAGAGCAUGUUUGUGUUCGGUGGAUAUACAGGAGACAUUCACUCAAAUUCAAAUUUGACCAAUAAAAAUGAUCUGUUUGAAUAUAGAUUUGCGAAAGGACAAUGGGUAGAGUGGAAAUAUGAAGGAAGGAAACCAGUUGCUCGAGCAGCACAUGGGGCUGCUGUGUACGACUGGAAAUUGUGGAUAUUUGCUGGAUAUGAUGGCAACACUAGAUUGGAUGAUAUGUGGACAGUCCCACUGAAUGGAGACCAAAGACAGUGGCAGGAAGUUGAACAAAGAGGAAAUAUUCCACCCACCUGCUGCAACUUUGCUUUGGCUGUGGCCAGGGAUUCCAUGUUCGUGUUUUCUGGACAGAGUGGGGCUAAAAUCACCAAUCAUCUCUUUCAAUUUAAAUUCAAAGACAAUGAGUGGACCAAGAUUUCCACAGAACACAUAUUGCGUGGUGCCCCACCCCCUCCAGAGAAGAGAUAUGGGCACACUAUGGUGGCCUUUGACAGGCAUUUAUACGUGUUUGGGGGAGCCACUGGGCAGACAUUACCCAAUGAACUCCACAGAUUCACAGACGUGGUCCAUUACAGAACCUGCUCUCAACAGUCAGGUACCAGCUGGAAGACUUUUCCAUGCAGCCGCAGUUGUGGAUGAUGCUAUGUAUGUUUUUGGUGGAACUGUGGAUAAUAUAGUCAGAAGUGGAGAAAUGUACAGAUUUCAGUUUUCUAGAUAUCCAAAGUGUACCCUUCAUGAGGAUUUUGGAAAGCUUUUAGAAAGUCAACAGUUUUGUGAUCUUUACUUUGUUGUUGGAAAGGAUGGAAUGCGUGACACAAUCCCAGCACACAUAGCUUUGGUUGCAGCUAGAUCAUCCUGGUUAGCAGAGAAAAUUCGUAUGGCCAAGGAGCAGCGAUUUCUGGAAGAGGCCACAAGUUCAAACCCCAUCCAGGUUAUUCUACCAGAGGCAAACCCCACAGCACUCAAACUUGUCCUGUCAUAUAUCUACACGGACAAAAUUCUACCAACCAAAGAGGGGCAGGUAUUUAACAGCAAUGAAGUGAUUCUAUUAAUGAUGGAUGUAUACAGAUUGGCACUUCAGUUUCGGAUGUUACGCCUGGAGCAGUUGUGUGUGCAAUACCUAGAAACAUGUAUUGGUCUAAAGAAUGUUUUAGUAGCUUUACAGAAUGCAUCUAAAAUGAACUUGGAUUUCCUUAAAGAAUACUGUCUGAAGUUUAUUGUGAAAGAGAGUAAUUGUUCUGAUAUUGUGAACAGCAAAGAGUUUGAAAGUUUGGACAAACCCCUGAUGGUUGAAAUCAUUCGUCGCAAACUCACCCCACCCCCACACGCACGUUUAGUGGCUGAGACCCACAAUGAAGCAGUCAUCAAUAAUUCCCUUGAGCAUGAUCUUGAGGCUUUCAUGAAGAAGGACGGUGGGGAGUUUUGUGACAUUACGCUGAUGCUGGGUGAGACACCCAUUCCGGCCCACAAAGCCAUUUUAGCAGCCCGCUGCAAUUAUUUUGAAGCAAUGUUUAGAUGGAAUGACCCUGAGAAUCACACAGUCAAGAUUGCUAUUGGAGAGAUGGUUCCUUCCAGGCAGGCAUUCGACAGUCUACUGCAGUUUAUCUAUUAUGGAGAUGUGACCAUGCCCCCAGAGGAUUCCUUGUACCUCUUCCCUGCUCCCUCUUUCUAUGGAUUCACAAACAAUAGAUUGCAGGCCUAUUGCAAGCACAACUUGGAGAAAAAUGUCUCUGUUCAAAAUGUUGUACAGAUUUUAGAGGCUGCUGACAAGAUUCAAGCUCUAGAUAUGAAGAAACAUGCACUUAGGUUGAUUGUACAUCACUUCCCAAAGGUUGCUAGGCAACCAGAACUAGGACGACUGAAUAAAGACAUGCUGCUGGAAAUCAUUGCUGCUGUAGCAGACGACAGGCGAGAAUCCAGCAUGAAGCACGAUUUCUCUUCCAACAGUCUCUCUGAUGGGUGAUCAGAAUAAAAGAAAACAGAGAUUGACCAAGACUGUGUGUACCUAUGUGUAUUAUGUAGGGUGUUUGGUUCAGUGAGGAGACCCACAAAGAUAAUAGGGUAUUGUAGGAAGGAUUGUGUAGCUAGCUAGAGCUGUACUGUAGAGACAAUUUCAUACUCUCUACUCCAUGUUGUGUACUAUGAACAUCUGAAGUGAGGCCAUUGGCAGAUGAUGCAUUUAUUUUUGAAAGUUUACAUACUUGUAUUUUUUUUAAUUUAUGUCAACUUGUCAAGCUAGUCAAUAAAAUGAAUGUUACAUACACAUGAAAUAUAGAGAAAUUUUUGUAUUACAUGAGAAAUUUGUUAGGACCUAACGAUUUAUUUUUAAUGUCCAUCAAAGUACAUGUAUUUAUCUUUUGUUAUGAUAUGAAGGAUAUAUAAAAAAGUUUGUUGUUUUUAUAUUAUUAUGUGAUACAUUUUGAUGUUGUGUAAAGUAAUGUACAGACUCAGAUUUUGAUUGCUUAUGUCUUAUAAGUCUCUGAAAUGACACAUUUCUUUAACUUUUUUAAUUUUAGAGAGUUAAAAUCCACUUUGCUUUUAGUGUUUGGAGAAUAUAUUACGUUAAUUGUUUACAUCUCUAUGAAUAUGUGCCAAAUGACUGUUUUACUUCAUGGUUUACUCAAUUGUUACUUGAUAUACUAUGUAUAAAUGUUUAUACAUGUAAAUACUAAUCUUAUAAUUAUAUUGAUAGCAUAAAUUUAAAUGAAAUGAU
rnacentral:misc_RNA from 1 species